rnacentral:rRNA from 1 species
AACAAACGCUGGCGGCGUGCCUAACACAUGCAAGUCGUACGAGAAAGGGUCCUUCGGGGCCUGAGUAAAGUGGCGCACGGGUGAGUAACGCGUGGAUAAUCUGCCCUUCAGUUGGGAAUAACUCAUCGAAAGGUGGGCUAAUACCGAAUAAUGCUGUGAGACCUCGGUUGAUCAGCCAAAGAGAGCCUCUGCUUGCAAGCCCUCGCUGAAGGAUGAGUCCGCGUACCAUUAGCUAGUUGGUAGGGUAAUGGCCUACCAAGGCGACGAUGGUUAGUUGGUCUGAGAGGAUGAUCAGCCAAACUGGAACUGAGACACGGUCCAGACUCCUACGGGAGGCAGCAGUGAGGAAUCUUGCGCAACGGGGGCAACCCUGACGCAGCAACGCCGCGUGAGUGAGGAAGGUCUUCGGAUCGUAAAGCUCUGUCGGAUGGAAAGAACCGCAUAGGGGUAAACAGCCCCUGUGUCUGACGGUACCAUCAAAGGAAGCACCGGCUAACUCCGUGCCAGCCGCCGCGGUAAAAC